CUUAAUGAUGUUAUUAGGCGCUCGCCUGCCGCUAGGUCGGGGUGUACAGUCCUCUGGGGACAUGAGUGAGACCCCAGUAGCAGCCUCCUGCCGCUGAUCCUCAGAGAAUUAGGUCACCUCUACUGGAAACCAUGAGCUCCCUUGCUUGUGAUCCUCAGCAGUGUCAGCCUGAUGGGAACCUCAUUGUUGUUCAGGGAACUGCAAGGCUUGGGUGCCAUUCCUACUUCCCAUCUUGAGUUCCAGCCUGGCUCAGCUGGUGGGGACUGAGGCAAAGCAUCUCAGCAGCUCCAAGAGCAGAGUAGUCCUGGCUCCAGUGUCCCAAGGUCCUGGUGCCUGUCCGAUGAUAACCAGAGCCCAG